CCUUCUUCGGCCUUAUGACAGACACCAGUACUUCCCCAUAUGUACCCCUCACCCCAGUGACAUGGCAUGUCCCUUCUUCUUGGGAACUCAAUUUACCACCAUGUCAACGGGACUCUUAUGCAAUAACAGUGGAUUCCAGCUAAAGAGUUACACGGGAGAAAUUCUAUUUAAAGAGGAGUUCUUAGAGGAGUGCAAAGAAAACGAGAGGGACAAAAUCAAGGACAUUAGAGGAAUUUGAACGCUUUUGCACUUUCAGCUACAGCAAACGUUAAACAUACCCAAACUUCUAGUGAGAUUAACAUAAAACCUUGCAUUGAAAGCUGACAUACAUGAGUUCUUACUACCCAAUAUAUCAUAUCUAACUUUCAACAAAAAAAUCACAAGGCCUGCUAAAAAGCAAGAAAUAAAUAUACAGUCUGAAAGGACAAAGGAAAUGUCAGAACCAGACCCAUAUAUGACACACAUUUUGGAAUUUCACAGAGGGAAUUUAUAAUAAUUACAAUUAACAUGUUAAGGGAUCUAAAGAAAAAAAGUAGACAAUUCAAAACAGAUGAGUAAUGUAAGGUGAGAAAGGGAAAAACUACAAAAAAUCAAAAGAAAGUGUUUAAAAAUCAAGAACAGUGUAAAAAAAUGAAAAAUAUUUUUGAUGAGCUCAUGAGCAUCCUGGACACAGCAGACAUGAAAGUCAGUGAGCUUGAAGAUACAACAAUGGAAACUUCUAAAACUGAAAGAUACAGAGGAAAAAAGAAUGAAAAAUAAAUGGUACAAUUUCAAAAGGAAUAACAUAAACAUAAUGGGAACACCAGAAUAAAGAGAAAAAGAAACAGAAGAAUAUUUGAAGUAAUAAGGACUGAGAACAUUACAAACUAAUAAUAGACACCCAAGUACAACACCAGGAAUCUCAGAAAAAACUAAGCCUAAUAAAAACAAGCCCAAAAUAUUAAAAUUACAGGAAAUCAAAGACAAAGAGGAACAUUUUGAAAGAAACCAGAGAAUAAAAAACUUUAGCUACAGAGGAGUAAGGGUAAGAGUUACACUAAACUUCUCUCCAGAAACCUUGCAAGUGAGAAGAGAAUCAAGUAAAAUAUUCAAAAUAUUGAAAGCAAAAACAAAAAACUUCCAACAAUCUAGAAUUUUAUUUCCAGUGGCUUUGUUUUCAAAAGUGAAGAAGAAAUUGUUGCUCAGAUAAACAAAAGUUGAGUGAUUUCAUUGCCAGAAGACCUGUCCUGUAAGAGAUGUUAAAAGAAGUUCUUCAGAGAGGAAAAUCAUAUAAUUCCAAAACUUAUAUUUACGCAGGAAGUGUCAGAAAAGGAAUAAAUGAAGAUACAAGACGGGCCUUUUGCUCCAUGAAUGUACUGACUGCAGCUCACGGCCAGGCUGGGCAAGCUCCCUCAACAGAGCUGGCAGUGGCACUUAGGCACUUGCUGUCUCAACUUGCUGUUCGGAAUCGAGACUGCCAGACCACUGCUAAAAUUGAUUGGCGUUCACACUUCAUUUGAGUGGGUUUGCAUUUGGACGAGGUAUUCAUUUUCACCUUUCUUGCUAUUUCCUGAGGCAAAUGAGCAAUUCUGUG